rnacentral:rRNA from 1 species
GACGAACGCNGGCGGCGUGCCUAAUACAUGCAAGUAGAACGCUGAAGGAGGAGCUUGCUUCCCUGGAUGAGUUGCGAACGGGUGAGUAACGCGUAGGUAACCUGCCUGGUAGCGGGGGAUAACUAUUGGAAACGAUAGCUAAUACCGCAUAAUAGCAGUUAUUGCAUGAUAACUGUUUGAAAGGUGCAAUUGCACCACUACCAGAUGGACCUGCGUUGUAUUAGCUAGUUGGUGGGGUAACGGCUCACCAAGGCGACGAUACAUAGCCGACCUGAGAGGGUGAUCGGCCACACUGGGACUGAGACACGGCCCAGACUCCUACGGGAGGCAGCAGUAGGGAAUCUUCGGCAAUGGACGGAAGUCUGACCGAGCAACGCCGCGUGAGUGAAGAAGGUUUUCGGAUCGUAAAGCUCUGUUGUAAGAGAAGAACGAGUGUGAGAGUGGAAAGUUCACACNGNGACGG